AUUGAACGCUGGCGGCAGGCCUAACACAUGCAAGUCGAACGGUAACAGGAAGAAGCUUGCUUCUUUGCUGACGAGUGGCGGACGGGUGAGUAAUGUCUGGGAAACUGCCUGAUGGAGGGGGAUAACUACUGGAAACGGUAGCUAAUACCGCAUAACGUCGCAAGACCAAAGAGGGGGACCUUCGGGCCUCUUGCCAUCGGAUGUGCCCGGAUGGGAUUAGCUAGUAGGUGGGGUAACGGCUCACCUAGGCGACGAUCCCUAGCUGGUCUGAGAGGAUGACCAGCCACACUGGAACUGAGACACGGUCCAGACUCCUACGGGAGGCAGCAGUGGGAAUAUUGCACAAUGGGCGCAAGCCUGAUGCAGCCAUGCCGCGUGUAUGAAGAAGGCCUUCGGGUUGUAAAGUACUUUCAGCGGGGAGGAAGGGAGUAAAGUUAAUACCUUUGCUCAUUGACGUUACCCGCAGAAGAAGCACCGGCUAACUCCGUG
rnacentral:rRNA from 1 species